rnacentral:rRNA from 1 species
AUUGAACGCUGGCGGCAUGCUUUACACAUGCAAGUCGAACGGAAACAGGCCGCGAGGUGCUGACGAAUGGCGAACGGGGGCGUAAUGCAUCGAAACGUGCCCAGUCGUGAGGGAUAACUACUCGCAAGAGUAGCUAAUACCGCAUACGAUCUAUGGUUGUAAGCGGGGGACCGUAAGGCUUCGCGCGAUUUUAGCGGCCGAUGUCAGAUUAGGUAGUUGGUGGGGUAAAGGCUCACCAAGCCAACGAUCUGUAGCUGGUCUGAGAGGACGAGCAGCCACACUGGAACUGAGACACGGCCCAGACUCCUACGGGAGGCAGCAGUGGGGAAUCUUGGACAAUGGGCGAAAGCCUGAUCCAGCAAUGCCACGUGCAGGAAGAAGGCCUUCGGGUUGUAAAAUGCUGUUGUACGGAACGAAACGGCGUUGGUUAAUACCCGGGGCUAAUGACGGUACCGAAAGAAUAAGCACCGGCUAACUACGUG